rnacentral:rRNA from 1 species
AUGGCGCGAGGUGGAGAUCGGCGGCGGCGUGGUGCCGCUGGUGGCCGGUUGCGGUGUGAUGCCGCUAGAUUCAGCCGGCGUGAUGAUCUGCGUCGAGAAGUGUCGUGCACGUCAAGAGGUGGUCGCUGCGUGCGGCAACACGACAUGGUGAUCGGCGUAGCGAAGGCGUCGUCCACAUCAAGAGGAGGCCACGACGUGAUGCUGUGGCGACAAGGAGACUGCGGUGCGAUGCCGCGAGGAGGAGGCGGCGGUGUGAUGCCGCCACAAGAAGGAGACGGUGCGAUGCUUCUCGGUGCGGCAGCGGCAGGAUGCCGUUGGGCGCUAGCAACGGCAGUGUGA